rnacentral:rRNA from 1 species
UACAGAGGAGCCAAGCGUUGUCCGGAUUUACUGGGUGUAAAGGGUGCGCAGGCGGACUUAUAAGUCAGAGGUGAAAUCUCACUGCUCAACAGUGAAACUGCCUUUGAUGCUGUAGGUCUUGAAUUAGGGAGAGAUUCGUGGAAUUCCGAGUGUAGCAGUGAAAUGUGUAGAUAUUCGGAAGAACACCAGUGGCGAAGGCAGCGAAUUGGCCCUAUAUUGACGCUCAGGCACGAAAGCAUGGGGAUCAAACAGG